rnacentral:lncRNA from 1 species
GCGGGGUCUCGGAGGCGGGGGGCGGGGCCUCGGAGGCAGGGCGGGGUCUCGGAGGCGGGGGGCGGGGCCUCAGAGGCGGGGGUCUCAGAGAAAGGGGUCUCGGAGGUGGAGGCGGGGUCUCGGAGGCGGGGCGGGCAUCUCAAAGGCGGGGUUGGGGGGUGUCUCAGAGGCGAGGCGGGGUCCCAGAGGCGAGGGUUGCCUGAACUUCGGGGCG